rnacentral:rRNA from 1 species
UGGGGAAUCUUGGACAAUGGGGGCAACCCUGAUCCAGCGACGCCGCGUGGGUGAAGAAGGCCUUAGGGUUGUAAAUCCCUUUCACCGGGGAGGAUGAUGACGUUAUCCGGAGAAGAAGCACCGGCUAACUCCGUGCCAGCAGCCGCGGUAAGACGGAGGAUGCAAGCGUUAUCCGGAAUUAUUGGGCGUAAAGCGUCCGUAGGCGGUUUAUCAAGUCAGUUGUUAAUGACUGCAGCUCAACUGUGGGCGAGCAACUGAAACUGAUUAACUAGAGUGCGGUAGGGGUAGAGGGAAUUCCCAGUGUAGCGGUGAAAUGCGUAGAUAUUGGGAAGAACACCAGUGGCGAAGGCGCUCUAGUGGGCCGCAACUGACGCUGAGGGACGAAAGCUAGGGGAGCGAAAGGGAUUAGAUACCCGCGUAGUCC